rnacentral:rRNA from 1 species
GAUUAAAGGUCCCACGGGUCGCGUUUUUUACUCCCUGCUUCGCUUGGGUCAAAGCAUCGAAAAAGGUUGAGGGGAGGCUGGCAACGGGUGGAAGGGGCAAUUGAGGGGCGAGAGGAGCGGCGGCCACUGGCGGGGAAGCGGCGUCGCGGGUGGAGGUGGCGGGGGACGCGAAGCAGGUUGGACGAAGGAGCCUACCUCUUACCCCUCUAGCUCCGGCGCGUCCUACCCGACGGCCACGGUCGCGGCGGGUUGCCCGCUGCCAUGGCUGGUCACCCGAGCCUGCUGUCGCGGCAGUAGGUCUACUGGAGGUACCUCGGGUCGGGGCCGAGUUGGAGACAGUGUUCGGUACUGCGGCAUUGUGGGGUCGGCGGAUCCUUGGAGUUCGGACCACCACGAUUAGAUUGAUAACUAGGUUCGUACGUUCCUCCAAGACCGCUAGUACGAUGUAGGUCACCUAGAGUUUCCCUAAGUUUCGAUCUCGAAAAACCCAAACUAAGUGAACAUUUAUAAAACCCGGAGUUCUCGUACUGUCCUCUUCUCCAGGGUCGAGGAAGCUCAGGAUCCCUCCCUCUCCUACAUCGUUAAUGGUAACCUGCCGGCUUCCUUCGACCUGGAUUCAAACCAUGUUACUACCCACAGAAACAUGGUACGAACGUCUUAUAGAACCCCUAGUAAAUAAUAUAGGCAAAAUGGACCUAACAUCCAUACCGUCCGUAUACCGUCAGCGAACAAAAUCAGAGCAAGACACCACGAACAUGUAAAAAUUGACCGAAUAGUAAUUCACGGUAACGUUGUUUACCCCGUUACUUCCCACCACCUGGUAUAAUAGAGUAACCGGCACGCGAACCAGGACUUCAACCUCAAUCAUAACCUAACACAAAGAAAGAACCUUUACGUCAACGACCCAGGUACAUACAAGACCCACGACAUCUUUGGAAAAACCUACGGUAAGGAAGACGUCCCAACAAAGUUCUCUCACAUUGUCACCACUUGUUAUGUAAUAAUUUGCCAUGUCGUUGUCGACCGUGCCGCUGAUAUAGCUGUGGGUCGAACGUACUGGAAGUUCAUAUACCACAAUAACACUGGUAUGACGAGACAAAAUAACAUAAGCCACCACAGUUUUAGUAGUUGUUCCAACGUGGACGGAAGAAUUAUGGUCAUGAGAAAAGUGACAACACGUAUAUAGAACCACAGAAGUAACGUGGUUCUGUGUUACGAGGUUUCCCCUAGUGACCCAACUCAGAUUGGAGUGAGUCUCUGUUGACCCCAAGUCUUAUAGUUGCAUGUUUGUUACGUCCUCAAGGACUAGGUUUACCAAGAUAUAUAACCCUAAAGUUACGAAACCAUCCAGAGAAAAAGGGUCGUCAGUGACCUUAAUACCGACCGAGUUUAGCUAGACGAAGUGACUUUCUAUGUGUUGCAAGUUAUGGUUAACCUUGCAAUACACGUUGUGAGUGUUGUUGACGAUACAUGAACAAAAGACACGACGACAAACCUCGGAACAGGUGUUCUCUCCUCGAAGAUUGACUAUCCGAAGAAUGACGAUGUCACCGUACCGGACGAGGUCAUCACUAAAUGUAACCAUAAUAGGACAGGUGAAAUCCACGUCGUGACGUCUCAAACUGUCCCCGAGGUUCCAAUGAUCGUCGUUAUCGUUUACUGCUGUAGGAAGGUCAGGAAUUAAUGAAAUUCCAAAGACUUCCUCGGCUUGGAGUGCGUCGUUGAAAUAAGUGUCGUAAUUAGACAUAACCUACACACUAAUAACCCUUGAACCUAGACUAAUGUGGGUGAUAGUGAUACAAGAAAGACAACACGAUACGACCACACUUGAACAGCACGAAAGACGAACUGAAUGAACUACGAGGAUCAACCGCGGGAGCUACCUUUGAAGUGGUGACCUCAGAAAGUGAACAACCACGUAAUGAAACGCAACAGUAGUACAAAAACUAGAGAACCAGAAAGUGACAAUAGAGGGAACGGGAACGUUCGGAGUAGAUAAUGAUACACUCGAAUUUUCCCUUCCGACCUCUAACCCCUCUACCCAAGUUCUCACGUAUAAAAGUCAACCGUAACGCCUCAGAGUCCAGCGAUCCUCGUUUGGUUCAAGUAGGAUUCUUAACCAUGGGGUAAGGAGACUAUAAUACGGCGGGAACCCCAUUUGAAGGUCUUUUACAGGGAACAGUAGGUUUUGAACGACUAAAACGGUUAACAUACUUCUUCUUCCCGGCACCAUACAGUUAUAAACAGAGCUGUUAACUGCCACUAAUAGUACUUGACCGACUCCUACGAUUCUGACGGACAGUAGUCGACCUCCGGAUGUAACUCAUGUUUGCGACACUCCCACAACGUCUCUAUUAACAUCGUGGAAGCUACAGACUCCCGAAGGCAUCGUAACAAGUCUGCUACCCGGAACCAUUAAACUUCGGAUUAUAACAACACCACGCCAUGGGACUCUAAACCGCGGCACUCUUAGACUGUCUCUAUGGUAGUUGGAAACAGUCAUAUUAUUUACUAACGUAGUAACGAUUGUUCCGUCAACAAUAACACUUCCCAGAACUACUCACCGGAUUACUCAAGGUCUCUGUCAUACCAUGAUAACUGGAGAUAACCUAACACUCUCUACCUCCUAACUACGAAGAAGACAGAGUCGAGGACGAGUGUUUUCGCUGAAAGCUUUCGACGUUCUAGGUUCAGAAGACGUAUCGACUUCUCCUGUGACUACGACUUCUCGAUUUCUGACUACAGUUUUUCAAGAACAUACUAGAAUCCUACGUGCGGCUCCAGUAACAACACUGAUACUUCAGUACCCUUAGAGUACACCUCUCGUCGUCGUCACCACGAGUCGGUCUACUAAGAGUUCUCCGAAUGUGUUCACGUGUCGCGUCCUAGUCGUGUAUGGAAAGACUCUACUUCCUUUGCCGUGUUUCUCUUCCUGCCGGCGUUUACCACCUACCCUUCGUUCAACACCACUUGCUCGUUUUCCAGCUAUUUAAGGAGAUAUGUUACAACUUCAACUUGAGAUGCUAUGAGUCCAUGAGGUCUUACCGUCGACACCACGAUCACUCGGAGGGAGGCGGUGGCGACUUAGUGGGACGUAUGAAGAUGUACCUCAUGUACCUAGACGAACAUCUCUUGCAGGGUGCGUACAACUAUCAAUCCCCUAUGUCUUCUCUACAACAGUGCAAAAAAUGGACUAGUUUAUGUAUGUCAGACUCGAGGUAAGUCAGCAACACGGUAACAUCGUCUUACCUAUGUGUCUACACACGUCUAAGGUGACGACUUCAACCUUCGGGAGUGGAACUGCCGAUGGAAUCUACCCUACGUGACCCAACAAUAACGGUAUAAUCCAUGCAUUUGAUAUCAUAGAAGUAAGGAAAAGACCUGUGUUGUCUACUUAUGAACCAGUAAUGUUUAAAACAUCGGGGCGAGAGGUUUAGUUAACAUCUUUGAAGGUAAAAAAAAUGACAACUCCCUGACGUUGGUCAACAACCUUCCUCGUUAUGGUGACGAUAUUAAUCUCUUAUAAGACAAUUGCGGGCUACAAUUACGUAGACACCUAGCAGCCGCCUAUAC